AGAGUCUGUCAUUCCUAACCAUGACUUA
rnacentral:sRNA from 1 species